UAACGCGAAGAACCUUACCUAGGCUUGACAUGCACGGAAAUCCUCCAGAGAUGGGGGGUCCGUAAGGGCCGUGCACAGGUGGUGCAUGGUUGUCGUCAGCUCGUGUCGUGAGAUGUUGGGUUAAGUCCCGCAACGAGCGCAACCCUCGUCCUAUGUUGCCAGCACGUCAUGGUGGGGACUCAUAGGAGACUGCCGGGGUCAACUCGGAGGAAGGUGGGGAUGACGUCAAAUCAUCAUGCCCCUUAUGUCUAGGGCUGCAAACAUGCUACAAUGGCCGGUACAAAGGGCUGCGAUACCGUGAGGUGGAGCGAAUCCCAAAAAGCCGGUCUCAGUUCGGAUUGGGGUCUGCAACUCGACCCCAUGAAGUUGGAGUCGCUAGUAAUCGCAGAUCAGCAACGCUGCGGUGAAUACGUUCCCGGGUCUUGUACACACCGA
rnacentral:rRNA from 1 species